CACGGGAGCAGGACGUUAGGUGCCGUUGGCUCUAUAGCCCUUGAUUUACAUGUCUGUUUCCUCCCAUGAUAAGAAACCGUUGGGACUCAAUCAGACAAUGAGCUGGGACUCCAGACUGUGGAAAGGUGACGGCUGUAACGAUGCUGGGCUGAGUGGCAUGCCCGUUAAAGGGUAAUCCUCUUGCCUACCUUCACAACUGGCAAAAAUAAAAGAAUCUUAAGAAGUAAGAAUUUUAAUGACCAUUUCAUUAUUCUCUGUACUGCAAUGUCCUAUCAAUUAUGCUUUGUAUUGCAGUGAUCUAAUGAUUUAUCUUAGGGUAUUCUGUUCUCUAAUGUUUUAUGCACUACUAUAUUUUUAAAUAUUCUUGUAUUCCAUACUGACUUUUAGGCUUUAUUCAGUUUUGUGUACAUUACCCAGCUUGACAUAGUUAUUGUACAUGACAUAUACGCUGAUGACAUAUAAAUGGCAGAAACUAUUGUAAUCCGAAUAAGACUAGUUACAGCCUGCACUGAGUGUUUGUUUUAACUGAUACAGACUGUUAUACCUAAAUGACCUUUAAAGGUCAUUUAUUGCUGACAUUUCUGCAGUCUUGUUUUAAAGCUAUUUAUAAGCCCCUCCUCUAACUGUCUAAUUAAUAAAUAUGUAGUAAAAAUGGAAUAACAACCAGCCAGAAUGUGAAUGUAAUAACACGUUUGCCAUGAGGAGCCCUCCUUUACCUGUAAAUGUGAAAUGUCAAAGACAUAAUUUAAACUAUCUAAAUAUCAAGCAUCACUUAUUUAGG
ensembl:lncRNA